GAGAAGUCUCCUGAAGGAACUCGGCAAAUUGCCUCCGUACCUUCGGAAGAAGGAGGCCCUCACUAUGCGCAAGCACUUUGAGGGGGCACAGGCCAGGGGGUAGCGACUGUUUAGCAAAAACACAGGGCUCUGCUAAGUCGGCUUCAAGACGACGUAUAGGGUCUGACGCCUGCCCGGUGCCGGAAGGUUAAAAGGAGGGGUGCAAGCUCCGAAUUGAAGCCCCGGUAAACGGCGGCCGUAACUAUGACGGUCCUAAGGUAGCGAAGUUCCUUGUCGGGUAAGUUCCGACCCGCACGAAAGGCGUAAUGAUUUGGAUACUGUCUCGGAGAGGGACUCGGUGAAAUAGACUUGUCUGUGAAGAUGCGGACUACCUGCACCAGGACAGAAAGACCCUAUGAAGCUUUACUGUAUCUUGGAAUUGGGUUUGGGCCUUGCUUGCGCAGGAUAGGUGGGAGGCUUUGAAGAUAUUCUUGCGGGAAUAUUGGAGCCAAUGGUGAGAUACCACUCUAGCAUGGCUAAAAUUCUAACUUUGAACCGUUAUCCGGUCGAAGAACAGUUUCAGGUGGGCAGUUUGACUGGGGCGGUCGCCUCCUAAAAGGUAACGGAGGCGUGCAAAGGUUCCCUCAGGCUGGUCGGACAUCAGUCGUAGAGUGUAAAGGCAUAAGGGAGCUUGACUGCGAGACCUACAAGUC
rnacentral:rRNA from 14 species